GCAAGCUGAGAGGUAACAGCUGUAUUUCCCAAUGAUGGACAUUUUCAGGAAGUUUCAGAGGUCUUUGGAAGUUGUUAUAUCCAGUGCAUUGGAGUCUCUACCUCUCCAGGAUUCCACACGGCACAAACUCUGGUUGGAAGACUCACUACUGAGAGGCCUCCUGCUAGCUCUGACUCCAGUAAACCUGACCUCCAAUAAUUCCUGCCGUCGCGGAGGUUUGAUGCUUAUUCUACGUUGGUUUAUUUAGAAUUCGGAUUUAUCCUCAAAUAGAAUUUUCUGACCCAUGGAAGAAUAGCGUGAAAGCAGGAGAAGCCCUGGAGGGAAAAGACCUACAGCUAUUGUCAGUCACCACGUGGUGUCUCGAAAGGCCUUUGAUCAAAUCUGUCGUCUCAUUAUUGUUUAUAAUCUGGGACGCACUAGUUUUCUGGGAUGACGGCUCCGCAAAGAGCAAUGGCCUCUAGGGCGUAGACAUGCUGAUGUUCAUUCCUUCCAAUCACUCUUUCACUUCUGGCCAUGUUUGCUCUGCUGGAAAUCUGGGGAGUAAAUCAUAGAAAUAAUGCGUCACAAUGAUUUGAAACUUGCCGUGCAUUGGUGGCUUAUGAAUAUCAACAGGGAUCACAUCACCUCUUCUUUCUUGGGCCAUUGAUAUUCUAUAUUUUCACAUUUUAAUUAGCGUUCAGGUUAAGCCUUGCUAAGAUGGAGGUUCUUAUUUGGCGGGAACUCUCAUGGAACCCUAGGGAGGAUGAAUUUACUCUCAGCACUUCCCUUCCUGGCUCAGAGCUCAAACUGCAUGUCAGGG
rnacentral:lncRNA from 1 species